AUAAACGAAUGAUAUGGUAAUAGCACAUAUUAUUAAUGAGUAAAAAUACCCGUUUGGUGAGUAGGCAGAUUAAAAUUAGUGAAUAUAAAAGUAAAAGGAAGUAAACAUACUUUCGAACUGAACAUGAAAAAUGAUGGGCUUUAAGCAUUCAGUAAUCGAACGCUUAUAAAAAAACCGUCCACUUUAAAGCGGACGGUUUCAUUAGUCAGUG
rnacentral:misc_RNA from 1 species